rnacentral:rRNA from 1 species
GUCGUGAGACAGUUCGGUCCCUAUCUGCCGUGGGCGCUGGAGAACUGAGGGGGGCUGCUCCUAGUACGAGAGGACCGGAGUGGACGCAUCACUGGUGUUCGGGUUGUCAUGCCAAUGGCACUGCCCGGUAGCUAAAUGCGGAAGAGAUAAGUGCUGAAAGCAUCUAAGCACGAAACUUGCCCCGAGAUGAGUUCUCCCUGACUCCUUGAGAGUCCUGAAGGAACGUUGAAGACGACGACGUUGAUAGGCCGGGUGUGUAAGCGCAGCGAUGCGUUGAGCUAACCGGUACUAAUGAACCGUGAGGCUUAACCUU